GACGAACCGUGCGAACGUUGUUCGGAUUCACUGGGCUUAAAGGGCGCGUAGGCGGCUUGUCAAGUCAGGGGUGAAAUCUUUCGGCUCAACCGGAAAACGGCUCCUGAUACUGGCAGGCUGGAGGGAGGUAGGGGCAGAUGGAACUUCCGGUGGAGCGGUGAAAUGCGUAGAUAUCGGAAGGAACGCCGGUGGCGAAAGCGAUCUGCUGGAUCUCAUCUGACGCUGAUGCGCGAAAGCCAGGGGAGCAAACGGG
rnacentral:rRNA from 1 species